AAUUCGAUGCAACGCGAAAACUUACCACCUUUGACAUGUACGGAAUCCUUUAGAGAUAGAGGAGUGCUCGAAAGAGAGCCGUAACACAGGUGCUGCAUGGCUGUCGUCAGCUCGUGUCGUGAGAUGUUGGGUUAAGUCCCGCAACGAGCGCAACCCUUGUCAUUAGUUGCUACAUUCAGUUGGGCACUCUAAUGAGACUGCCGGUGACAAGCCGGAGGAAGGUGGGGAUGACGUCAAGUCCUCAUGGCCCUUAUAGGUGGGGCUACACACGUCAUACAAUGGCUGGUACAAAGGGUUGCCAACCCGCGAGGGGGAGCCAAUCCCAUAAAGCCAGUCGUAGUCCGGAUCGUAGUCUGCAACUCGACUACGUGAAGUCGGAAUCGCUAGUAAUCGUGGAUCAGAAUGUCACGGUGAAUACGUUCCCGGGUCUU
rnacentral:rRNA from 1 species